rnacentral:rRNA from 1 species
GAUGAACGCUGGCGGCGUGCCUAAUACAUGCAAGUCGAGCGAACAGACGAGGAGCUUGCUCCUCUGACGUUAGCGGCGGACGGGUGAGUAACACGUGGAUAACCUACCUAUAAGACUGGGAUAACUUCGGGAAACCGGAGCUAAUACCGGAUAAUAUAUUGAACCGCAUGGUUCAAUAGUGAAAGACGGUUUUGCUGUCACUUAUAGAUGGAUCCGCGCCGCAUUAGCUAGUUGGUAAGGUAACGGCUUACCAAGGCAACGAUGUGUAGCCGACCUGAGAGGGUGAUCGGCCACACUGGAACUGAGACACGGUCCAGACUCCUACGGGAGGCAGCAGUAGGGAAUCUUCCGCAAUGGGCGAAAGCCUGACGGAGCAACGCCGCGUGAAUGAUGAAGGUCUUCGGAUCGUAAAACUCUGUUAUUGGGGAAGAACAAAUGUGUAAGUAACUAUGCACGUCUUGACGGUACCUAAUCAGAAAGCCACGGCUAACUACGUG